GCACGCGAGCCGAACCAACUUCCUGCGCUCAGUCGAACCGAGUUAGUUGUCGAGAGACGAUGCUUAGUGUGCGAUAGCGACGAAUACAUUGAAACGACCUCUCACAUACCCUACGAAUUAAUUAAUCUGUUUUACAAUUACGCCGCCGAUCAAUCCGUUUUAGUUCGGUCCGUGCGGUUUUAAUUUGUAAAAGAAUAAACGACGACAGUACGUACGCGGUGCCGACGGUAUUGUUGCACACGAUUCUAUUGAGAAAGUGACCCCCGCAAAAUCGAUAGGAACGGCGAAAAUGUCAGGAAAAUCUAACGUUACAGAUACCGGCAACCCGAAGCUGGACAAAUGUGAACAGGACCUGGUGGUGGACAGUGGUUUUUUGAGUGAGGAAAUCAAGUCGGAGGAAAUAGAGGCGGACUACCGUCCAUCGGGACGCAUCGACGCCGACGACGACGACGUCGCCGCCGACAAAAUGCUGAAGGAGAGCAACGUGUGCGUCGAAAGCGGCGUCUGUCUCAGCGAGGACUUCUCCAAUCUGAGCCUGCGGAAUCCCGACCUGAACGACCUCAGCUGCACGAAACAGCAACAACCACUUGUUGUCGGAGACGCGCUGCAACCGGAGGGUGACCAGAAUGUUCUUUGGAGCCAUUGCUUCGAGCAAGACGAGGAUGGCGAUACUUAUCUGCAUAUAACGAUAGCCUGUGGCCGCAAAGAUCUGGUCAAAAAACUGCUGCAACUCGUCCCGCAUCACCUGCUGCUCGACACCCCCAACGAUGACGGCCAGACGCCGUUGCACGUGGCCAUCGAAAGGAACCAGUACUUGAUGGCGCGGUGGUUGGUUAUCGCCGGCGCCAGCAAAUCACCCCGCGACGUGCGUGGCGAGUCGCCGCUGCACAUCGCCUGCAGGAACGGCGACAUGAGAUGCGUCAGCGCCCUCCUCGAGCCGGUCAAGCACGAGGAACGGCAGGCCAUGAAACUGACCUGCCAACCGCCGCCGAUUCACAAUCAGAUGGUCGAUUUGGAACAGUGGAACUAUGCCGGCCAGACUUGCGUCCAUGUCGCAGCGAUAAACGGCCACCUUGAAGUGCUGCGCAACCUGUACUGGUACGGUGCCGACAUAAACGCGCAAGAGGGACGCGGUGGCUACACGGCCCUGCACUAUGCGGUGGAAAGGGGCGACGAACAGAUGGUCAAGUUCCUGUUGUCCUGCAAGAAGCUGGACGUGAACGCGACGACGUACGGACAACGGAGCGCCCUCCAGAUCACCGCCAGCGUGCCCGCCCCGUUGAGCGCGUUGCUCUUGGAUAUGGGCUGUAGUCCUUACAAUAGCGACGACGAGGACGAUUACGAGAGCAUGGACGAAAGCGAAGACGAAGUGAGUGAUCCUAAACAAACUACUUAGAACUAUAUCCGUAGAUUUGGCAACUGAUUGAUUUGUGUGGGAUUCUCACAUUCACGUUGGUCAAUGAUGGUAUUUAAUAGACCGUUUUACGUGCCGAAUAUGGUGGGGACGAAUGCCUAGAGAAACAAAAAUCUAAGAAAAGGAGACAGUGAAACGGACGAGAGCUGUCGGCCGAGUGCAGCACGACGAAUUUUUAAAAAAAGGAGGGAAAGUUGCCAAAAAUUAGAUACUAACUGUGAUCAAAACUAUGUAACAUAUAUCAUCAUGGCAUUAUUUAUGUUUAACAAAAAUCAUGCAGGAACAUUUGCCUGAUGUCAAAUGUUUUAUGAUGUGCGACCAUUUUUUAACUGUUUUGUAUGAUAUUUCGAUACUGAUGGCAGAGAGCUUCGUUGUUUACGAUCAUCUUGUAUAUAUUGCGUUAAACAAUUCAAGCCUCAGCUAUCAGUAAAUGGAAUGACAAUGUGUUCGUGAAUUGUAUCACGUUUAUUGCAGUAGUAUAAUUUUCUUUAAGACUAAUGGACAAAUUAAUGUUUAUUUAAAAAGAAAUGUGUUCCGUUGUCUAGAUACUUAGCUAAAACCUGUUAUAUUUAUUGUUAGAUAUAUAGUAGAAACUAUUUGUUUUAAUUUAAUUUUGUACAUAGUUAACUAUUUUAAGUUAAUUUUAGUUUAAUGUAUGUCGUCCUAUAUGAAAAAAAAUUAUAUACUACGAACGAA